CUGAAAACCUGAAGCAAGCAGACGAUAAAAAAGGGAAAACCGAUCCCGGCCCCGACUCUCUUCCCCAACCUCCCCACUCCCUGCGUCUCCAUCCCGCAACCGCUGCCGCGCCCACUCCCCGAACCUCCCCGCCGCUGGGCGCCAUCCCCCGGCCCCGCCCCGCCCCGUCUCCCCUGCCUUCUUCCCCAACACCAUCCCGGACCUUCGUCCCAAGCAUCCGUCGCGUCCAGAUCCACCCGCCGGUGACGCCCACCGCCGGCACCCCGCUACCCAUUACCUUCCCGGCGGCUCCGCCUGCGUACCACCACCGGCGCGCCCCUGUGCCCAGUCGCAGUUGCUGCCUCGCCACCCGCGCCCACCACCUGGCACCCAUGGCCGCCAUUGCCAGGACCUUCCCUCCCCAACGAGGCUACACCUAGCCAGAGGACUACUGCUCUCCAACGCCUGGACCGACGCAGUCAACCGUGCGCCGGCAAUGUGCAACCGGUCACCAAACCCGCGCGCAGGAAUUCGUCCAUGGUUGACAGCCUCAACCAUGGCGCUCCAUCCCCACACGCCGCCGCUGGCCGUCGCCGUCCCUGACCACCAGACAAGCACCGCCGCCCCUGCAUCUCCGGCCACAUCGACCUUCUCAGGAGGGCUACCUUGACCUUCCCGGGGAACGUUCAUCCAUGGAGUGGCCGCUGCCGCCACUCCACUCCCGCGCUGUGCCUGGCUUGCCGCAAGCCUCCGCCCUCCAUCACUAGUGCGUUGCCACCACAUGGAGCUUCCAGCGCCAAGAUUCCCUUGUGCGCCAUCAGCUAGCACCUAUGCUGCGUGGCUACUUCACACCCUGUUGUGCUUCAGAUUCUGUAGAGCUUGAGGUUCAGAGCUUUUCCCUUCUGAAAUUCAGUGAAGGGAAGGACUACCUGAGCGCUACCAGCAGUACAAGGAGUUUACAAGGCAAGAGAUGUGUCAAUAGAUGAUCCCUACUUUGCAGCAGUGUGCUGUACGUGUGGAGGAAAGGUCAAGCAAAAAGUGUAGUUUGAUAAUUACGUCGUAACUUAUUAAGCUGGCUUGCUCUCUGGCUCUUAUUACUUUGUGUUUGUGCCUCAAACAAAAGAAAAAAAGCAAAACAUAUAUUUGAAGAUUU